GACGAACGCUGGCGGCGUGCUUAACACAUGCAAGUCGAACGGAAAGGCCCUGCUUUUUUGGUGUGCUCGAGUGGCGAACGGGUGAGUAACACGUGAGUAACCUGCCCUUGACUUUGGGAUAACUUCAGGAAACUGGGGCUAAUACCGGAUAGGAUCUCCUGCUGCAUGGUGGGGGUUGGAAAUUUUCGGCGGUUGGGGAUGGACUCGCGGCUUAUCAGCUUGUUGGUGGGGUAGUGGCUUACCAAGGGUUUGAAGGGUAGGCGGCAUGAGAGGGUGACCGGGGACAAGGGGACUGAGAGACGGAGCAGAGGGGGACGGGAGGCAGUAGGGGGGAAUAUGGAACAAGGGGAGGGCGUCGGAGGAGGAGGCGUCGGGUGCGGAAUGACGGCUUGCGGGGUGUGAAAAGCAGUAGGCUGUGACGAAGCGGAAGUGACGGUAAUGGGUAAAGAAGCACCGGCUAACUACGUG
rnacentral:rRNA from 1 species